rnacentral:rRNA from 1 species
CCCUUAGAUGUUCUGGGCAGCACGCGCGCUACAAUGGUCUUCGCAAACGGAUGCAUUCUCGAAGGAGAAUGCCAAUCUUGGAAUCUAUGCCUUGGUCGGGACAGUUGCUUGCAAUUUUUCGACUCGAACCAGGAAUUCCUUGUAAUCGUGAUUCAUCACAUCACGAUGAAUACGUCCCUGCCCUUUGUACACACCGCCCGUCGCUCCUACCGAUUGAAUGGUUCGGUGAAGAUCUCGGACUUCGAUAUUUAUUCUUUAUUGAGUUUAUAUUGUGGGAAGUUAUCUAAACCUCAUCAUUUAGAGGAAGGUGAAGUCGUAACA